GGAAGCCUAAUCUCGGGCCAAAUAGCCAUUAUUGAGGAAGGGAGCAGUUCAAAAAAAGCCAAGAAACUUGUAUGAGGCCUCAGGCCCAAACGAUCGAGGGAGAAGAAAGAGAAGCCAUCUCAGUUGCAGAAAUGGAGAAGAACGAGAAGCCACCUCAGUUGCAAAAAUGGUGAAUCCUAUUUAUAGACUUCUCCUUCCUCAUUCUGUUUUCAAUUUUGUUAGAGCAUUGUGCAAAGUUGUUAGAGUUGGUUUGGGCAACAUGAUGUUCAUCUCCAAUCCGACUCAGUUCAACCUCAUUGCUUAGCUUGUUAUGAGUUUUGUCAUUUCGUCGUGAUAUGAAGUUAUUGUGCAGGUUGUUACGUUUGCUGUUCUAUUUGGAAACAUGGUGCAAGGCUUGGAAUCUUGCUUUUGGAGUCUCAUUAUACUAUCACGUGGAGUUCGAUGCAUGGAGUUGGAGUUAUGAUCCUUGUAAUUGGUGUUGAUUUGUUUAUGUUGUAAUUUGAAAUGGUAAUUGUAUGUACAUAUUAUUUUAUGGAGAUCUAGAACAUGGUUUUGAAUACAUGAUGCAUGAUGAAUGGAUUUUGAAAUUGUAAUAUGAUUUGUGGCUUGAAAUUGAAUGUAAUGGUUAGCUCAAAUGAUUGCGGAAUAGUCUUGUAUUUGUAAUGAGAAAUUGAAUGAGUCUAUGGGAUUCAAAUGAAUAUUGUAAAGUGAAUGACAUUGAUGAAAGAAUGGAAAUGAAUUUGAAUGUUAUUUUGAAUGAUUUUAAA